GUGAGAGGGAAUCUAAUUUGGGUUGCCGUGUUGGUGAGAGCGCGGUGCGCUAAUCACUGCGCCACCGCUCCUCAUUGUAAAGUGCCACGUGACCCGAGAGCCCCCGUGGGGGGGGGGGGAGAUCCCGCGCAUUUCCUAGGGAAUCGAUUCAUCUUAAUCGGCAAGUAACUCAACGCCGUUUUCGAUUAAUGUAUUAUAAGCCGCGAGAAAAAUCGACACAUUGUUCGACACUGGAAUCGUUUAAUCGAUGCGGAUGGUGCCAUUGCGGGUUACCGUUUAUAAUCCUGAGACGAGCCAGCCGCGUGUCAGCAGGAGGUCAUGCAGGGCACCAGGGCGUCGGGGUCGGCGCUCUUCUUCCUGAGCCUCCCCGAGUUUGACCGCUUGGUCAGGACCAUACUGACGCUGAACCUGCCGUGUCACCCGGGUCCUCACGACGACAAUCGGGCGCAGCAGAUCCUCCGAUGCCGGGAGCUGCUGUUUCUCAACCCAGAGGUACUUACAGCCCCGCUGCUUAACACAACAAACAAUAUCAUCAUCGUUACAUCCGUAAGUGCACAACAUCCUCACAGCACACGCAUUGCGCACAGUGAGCAACAUACAACCGUACAGUCUGAUUUAAUAUUCGGGCUGUUGUUUCCACAUUAAGUGAUUACUGGUUCAUGAAUUUCGGACCCAGUAAUUCUAAAAACUUUACAACCAUAUUUUAGGGCGCCGCGGUGGCGAGAUGUUAACUACUUCGCCUGGUA